GGAAUGUGUAGCUAAGCUAAUAACAGAUCUCCCAGCUACUUGUGAUGUGGGCUGAAAUGUACAUUGAGCCAAAAUCAAUCACACUAUUUUUAAAAAUAUGCAAGAUCAUGCUAGAAUUUUGUAAUUUUUAUAAAUAUAUAUGUCAGAUACCAAUCAGAAAAGAGAAACCAUUUUGGGUACUUCAAACAAAGGGGAUGUAAUAUAGGGAUUAGUUAUACAGUCGAAAGAAGAGCUGAGAGGUCAAAUAGGAGAUGAUGAGGCAAUCUAGAGAUUAGCAACAAUGCGAAUCCCAUCACUCAAGGGCUGAAGGAUGGCAAGGAGGAGAUGAUACUGUCAAAACUCAAAAGUUGUGGAUCUCAGGGCCAGCCCCAUAGCUGAGUGGCUAAGUUUGUGUGCUCCACUUCGGCGGCCCAGGGUUUCACUGGUUUGGAUCCUGGGCGAGGACCUAGCACUGCUCAUCAAGCCAUGCUGAGGUGGCAUUCCACAUAGCAGAGCCAGAAGGACCUACAACUAGAGUAUACAACUAGAUUAUCCCUGAGCUAACAUCUGUGCGAAGCCUUCUCUACUUUUUUGAAUGUGGGACACCUCCACAGCACGGCUGGUGCGGGGAGCAGGUCCAUGCCCGGCAUCUGAAUCCACGAACCUGGGCUGCUGAAGCAGAGCACAUGGAACUUUAACCACUUGGCCAAGGGCCAGGCCCAAGGCCAGACUCUGUGCAGAAUUCCAGCUCUUCCCACCUUCUGACCAACACUUUCCUGGGCAUGGAGUCACUCAGAGCCUUGGGGAGGCUGAGCUCAUCUAACAAAGUGAAAAGUAACAACUUCAGACUCUGUAAUGAGGAGGCUGCUCCAAGUGAUAUUUAUACAAUGAGUAGGGUGGAGAAGUCAUCUAUAGGGUCUGUUAAGGACUCUCAUUUGCCAUGAAGUCCAGAGGCCCAAGGACAUUUUACGUCAAACAAUAACUUCCUCCUUAAUCUCAGCAGAUACUCCCAUUCUAUAAAACUAGAAUUUAGUGGGGGUAGGGAUAGAAUGUAACACAUUUUUGCAAACCUCUUCAGUUGAUGGGAUUUCCAGUUUUCUUGUCUUUUCAAAAGUAGCUCAUCCAAGUCUUAAAAGCAAGAGUUGUGUGUUCAAGGACUAAACUGACAACUCGGAACUAUUGUUAUGCAAAAACAAUAAUGUGGAUUUGCUGCCUCCACUCUUACUUGAAAUGAAGUGAAGACAUAGAUGGCUGGCCAGCCUCUGCCUAAUCCACCAAGCCUUGUGUGUGCUGAUAACAUUGUCACAAACUUUUCAAUUGACCUUCUUCACCAGGAUGGAAAGCCGAGGUCCAAUUCACUGCAAAGUUUAGCUUAAUUUAGUGGAAAGUAAGAGGAUUCAUUAGGAAAGAUUCAAUACUGAUGUCCUAUAUUUAAAAAUGUUUCAAUUUUCCUGUCUUUUAGGGGAGAGGAUAACUCAGGAGCUAGGAUUUUCACAGCGCCUUUAUAUGUGUAUGUAGCCAUUAGCAAAAUAUUAAAAUAAAGUUCAUUUUGUCACACUUCUGGGUUAAAGGGACCACCUACAGUAACAUUAUAAAGAAAUCAAAUCAAAUCCUUUUUGGAAUAAGGAGGGUUGUGUAUGAAAAAUAAGUAAACAUCUAAAUUGUCAGUCAAGUAUGUAUUACAAAAGCAAAAAGGAAGUAGGACUUUCACAGAAAUGUGAUGCUUUGCCAAAGUUUGUGUAACCAUGAACCACAAAUCGCUAGGUUUAUUUAAAAUAGGCCCAGUGAGUGAGGCUUGGCUUCAACAGUGUUUUGUUUUGAAUUUAUUAUAAUUAAUCUCUUCUUGUCAGUUGUAUGACACAUUUUCCCAAAGGACAUCAUGAUACUUAACAAAACCUAGGAGUAAUGACAAAAUAGCAUGAUAAUUGGUGUUAAAUGGAUCAUUUGUUCAAGUGUUCUAUUAUACUAGUUCAUUUCUCACCAGCUUCAUUCUUUUUUUCUACUCCCAAAUGAUGCCAAUUAUCUAAAAUCCUGAAUAAUAAUUUGUUAACCUUCACUUGUCACCUUAUUAACUCAGUCCUCCCAUUCUCUUUCCAAACUCUGCAUCACACAGUUAUUUUACAUUCAGCAAUCCUUUCAAUUAUAAAAUAAUUAUAGCCUGUAAAAGUAUCUAUCAGUGUCCGUUACUGAGGAGGACUCUAAAGCCAAUUUUAAGUUCUGCAGA
rnacentral:lncRNA from 1 species